GCCCGGGUGGCGGAAUGGUAGACGCAGCGGACUUAAAAUCCGCUGGCCGCAAGGCCGUGCCGGUUCGAGUCCGGCCCUGGGCACCA
rnacentral:tRNA from 1 species